GGGCCGUUAACUCAACAGGUAGAGUACUGGCCUUUUAAGCCAGGAGCUGAGGGUUCGACUCCCUCACGGCCCA
rnacentral:tRNA from 2 species